GAGUUUGAUCUUGGCUCAGAAUGAACGCUGGCGGCGCGCUUAACACAUGCAAGUCGAACGUGAAGCGGGAGCUUGCUCCCGUGGAAAGUGGCGAACGGGUGCGUAACACGUGAGCAACCUGCCCCGAAGACUGGGAUAACACCGGGAAACCGGUGCUAAUACCGGAUACCUUCCUCCGACCGCAUGGUUGGAUGAAGAAAUGGAUUCCGCUUCGGGAUGGGCUCGCGGCCUAUCAGCUUGUGGUGAGGUAACGCCCACAAGCGACGACGGGUAGCUGGUCUGAGAGGACGACCAGCCACACUGGGACUGAGACACGGCCCAGACUCCUACGGGAAGCAGCAGUGGGGAAUCUUGCUCAAUGGGCGAAAGCCUGAAGCAGCGACGCCGCGUGCGGGAUGAAGGCCCUCGGGUUGUAAACCGCUUUCAGCAGGGACGAAAUUGACGGUACCUACAGAAGAAGGCCCGGCCAACUACGUGCCAGCAGCCGCCGCGGUAAU
rnacentral:rRNA from 1 species